AAAAAAGUUACCAAGGGGACUGAGAACUCCAUGGAAAUAAUGUGAAAGUUAAGUCCUGCUAAGUUUUCUCACAGUAGAGGCAGAUGGAAAAGGUGGCUGGUGAAUGAGACCCAUGUCUGAUUUAGGUCGAGCAUGCCCGAUGGAGGCUCCACCUUCCACGACCAGCCUCUGACCAAGGCCUAGGAACAGGAAACCUCCUGUCUGAGGUUGGGAGAGGAAGGGAGAUGAGAACAGUUUGAAAUAAAUCCUGUGGAGACUUUCUACAAGCAGCUAUCAUAUGAGGGAAAAGGAUGCAAGACGCAGUCAUUGCUUUUCACUUUGGAGGGAAGAUCCAGGCACGCCCCUGACCACUGGACCCCUAAUACUUUACCGAGGUGGCAGGUCCCUGACUCACAGGGUUUAUCUCCCACCCUCUGGAGCACAUGCUUCGAGGCCAGGCCUCCAGUGUACUAGCUACCUCUUCCUUGCCCUCCUCAAUCAGCAUGGUGGCAUCGAUGGAGUGGAUGGAUGGGAUGGUCUGUGGGAUAUCUAGAUCUCUUUGGAUCUCACUGUGACUGAGGGUGGGAGAGUUAAUAGAAGCCUCGAGGAAAACUGUAAAAACUCCACCGUCAGAUCAUGCUAACGCUGCCAUUUUGUGAACAUGCGGCCUGUGAAGAGGCGUGAAGCUUGACUACAAUUGUGCAGGAAAUAUCCCAAACUAUGGAAAUCUUUCUACUGAAGACUACAUGACCAGAUCAUUCCUCUCUCUACCAUGAAGCAGUCAGGGAGCCAAGACUCUCCUUGGACUGCAGGUCACCACCUCACCAUUGAUGAUUGUGGACUAGGCUACAGAGGGAUGUCCAGAGCUCAUAGUCAUGGCCCCAUCAUUGAUGAUUGUGGACUAGGCUACAGAAGGAUAGAGUUCAUAGUCAUGGCCCCAUCAUUGAUGAUUGUGGACUAGACUAUGGUAUGACCUCUUCUAUGGUUCCUACUGUCUAGUUCCCCCACGCUUCUGUGUUUCUUGGCUGUUUUCCAAGUCUGGUCCUCCAACUCUCCUGUAAUUCCAAUACAUUCCCUUUAUGUUUAAGAUAACCAUAGUCGAAUUCUGUCACUUGCCACUAAGACCACGACUAGCCAUAGAAGAGACUAGCAUCCCCUUUGCAUUUUCUUCUUUGCUAAAGCUACUGCCAACAUUCUUAUGAUGAGCUGAAUGAACACAAUUCAAAUCAUAGUUCCUAAUUGUGCAAUGUAAAUGAGACAGCAAGAAAGGUAAGGUAGGGAAUUGAAAAGUAGUUAUCCUUCUUUUAAAAUUUUUAAUUUAAAUGUGACUUCAUUCUCUGUGAAUCAGGCAUUAUGUCCCUUGCUAAAAAUGUACUGCCACACUAGUAAAUUAAAAUCUGUUCAAUAAGAUAUAUUUAUGUACACGACCGGCACCUUACAAUACUGUGAGCAUAGUUGAAAAGUGCUAUGUGCUUAGUAAAUUUAGAACUGCAUUUCCUGAAUGUCAAGGUGUUUAUUACCUGGAAAAAAGAAAGGAAAACAACUCUACAUUUCAAACACGUUCUUCAGCUUCCUUGAUGAGACAUUUGAAGGACCAUUAGUUGUCUAAAUCGAAAUUGUAUUUUAGAGAGGGGUAGAAUAUGAAAGAUUGUUCUUUAGUUUACGAUCAUAAACUUUACCCUGCAAUAAAGCUGUAAACCC
rnacentral:lncRNA from 1 species